AUACGGAGGGUGCAAGCGUUAUUCGGAAUCACUGGGCGUAAAGGACGCGUAGGCGGGUUGGCAAGUCAGAUGUGAAAUCCUACAGCUUAACUGUAGAACUGCAUUUGAAACUGCUAACCUAGAGUAUGGGAGGGGGAGAUGGAAUUAGUGGUGUAGGGGUAAAAUCCAUAGAUAUCACUAGGAAUACCGAAAGCGAAGGCGAUCUCCUGGAACAUAACUGACGCUAAGGCGUGAAAGCGUGGGGAGCAAACAGGAUUAGAAACCCCAGUAGUCC
rnacentral:rRNA from 1 species